GAGUUUGAUCCUGGCUCAGAUUGAACGCUGGCGGCAUGCCUUACACAUGCAAGUCGAACGGCAGCACGGGAGCAAUCCUGGUGGCGAGUGGCGAACGGGUGAGUAAUAUAUCGGAACGUGCCCAGUCGUGGGGGAUAACGCAGCGAAAGCUGUGCUAAUACCGCAUACGAUCUCUGGAUGAAAGCGGGGGACUCGCAAGAGCCUCGCGCGAUUGGAGCGGCCGAUAUCAGAUUAGCUAGUUGGUGGGGUAAAAGCUCACCAAGGCGACGAUCUGUAGCUGGUCUGAGAGGACGACCAGCCACACUGGAACUGAGACACGGUCCAGACUCCUACGGGAGGCAGCAGUGGGGAAUUUUGGACAAUGGGCGCAAGCCUGAUCCAGCAAUGCCGCGUGCAGGAUGAAGGCCUUCGGGUUGUAAACUGCUUUUGUACGGAACGAAACGGCUCUUUCUAAUAAAGAGGGCUAAUGACGGUACCGUAAGAAUAAGCACCGGCUAACUACGUGCCAGCAGCCGCGGUAAUACGUAGGGUGCGAGCGUUAAUCGGAAUUACUGGGCGUAAAGCGUGCGCAGGCGGUGAUGUAAGACAGAUGUGAAAUCCCCGGGCUCAACCUGGGACCUGCAUUUGUGACUGCAUCGCUAGAGUACGGUAGAGGGGGAUGGAAUUCCGCGUGUAGCAGUGAAAUGCGUAGAUAUGCGGAGGAACACCGA
rnacentral:rRNA from 1 species